rnacentral:lncRNA from 1 species
GCCAUCGGAUGAACUGAUCCAGCCUCCCUUCUCGGAUCAAACACUCAAUUUUCUCUUUGAGCUGGUAAGAAUCUUCGGUAUCAUGACCGUGGUCAUGAUGAUAAAAGCAAUACUUGUCUGGAUCGCAGUGUUCUGGAUGUGUCUGUAUCUUUAAGGGUGAAGGCAGCUCGAUUCGCACUUCCAUCAAAAUCUCUCUCCUAAAAGCAUUCAAAAGAGUA